rnacentral:rRNA from 1 species
AGUUCUCCCUGACUCCUUGAGAGUCCUGAAGGAACGUUGAAGACGACGACGUUGAUAGGCCGGNGGACACGUGGUAUCCUGUCUGAAUAUGGGGGGACCAUCCUCCAAGGCUAAAUACUCCUGACUGACCGAUAGUGAACCAGUACCGUGAGGGAAAGGCGAAAAGAACCCCGGCGAGGGGAGUGAAAAAGAACCUGAAACCGUGUACGUACAAGCAGUGGGAGCACAGAGCAAUCUGUGUGACUGCGUACCUUUUGUAUAAUGGGUCAGCGACUUAUAUUCUGUAGCAAGGUUAACCGAAUAGGGGAGCCGAAGGGAAACCGAGUCUUAACUGGGCGUUAAGUUGCAGGGUAUAGACCCGAAACCCGGUGAUCUAGCCAUGGGCAGGUUGAAGGUUGGGUAACACUAACUGGAGGACCGAACCGACUAAUGUUGAAAAAUUAGCGGAUGACUUGUGGCUGGGGGUGAAAGGCCAAUCAAACCGGGAGAUAGCUGGUUCUCCCCGAAAGCUAUUUAGGUAGCGCCUCGUGAAUUCAUCUCCGGGGGUAGAGCACUGUUUCGGCAAGGGGGUCAUCCCGACUUACCAACCCGAUGCAAACUGCGAAUACCGGAGAAUGUUAUCACGGGAGACACACGGCGGGUGCUAACGUCCGUCGUGAAGAGGGAAACAACCCAGACCGCCAGCUAAGGUCCCAAAGUCAUGGUUAAGUGGGAAACGAUGUGGGAAGGCCCAGACAGCCAGGAUGUUGGCUUAGAAGCAGCCAUCAUUUAAAGAAAGCGUAAUAGCUCACUGGUCGAGUCGGCCUGCGCGGAAGAUGUAACGGGGCUAAACCAUGCACCGAAGCUGCGGCAGCGACGCUGAUGCGUUGUUGGGUAGGGGAGCGUUCUGUAAGCCUGUGAAGGUGUGCUGUGAGGCAUGCUGGAGGUAUCAGAAGUGCGAAUGCUGACAUAAGUAACGAUAAAGCGGGUGAAAAGCCCGCUCGCCGGAAGACCAAGGGUUCCUGUCCAACGUUAAUCGGGGCAGGGUGAGUCGACCCCUAAGGCGAGGCCGAAAGGCGUAGUCGAUGGGAAACAGGUUAAUAUUCCUGUACUUGGUGUUACUGCGAAGGGGGGACGGAGAAGGCUAUGUUGGCCGGGCGACGGUUGUCCCGGUUUAAGCGUGUAGGCUGGUUUUCCAGGCAAAUCCGGAAAACUAAGGCUGAGGCGUGAUGACGAGGCACUACGGUGCUGAAGCAACAAAUGCCCUGCUUCCAGGAAAAGCCUCUAAGCAUCAGGUAACAUCAAAUCGUACCCCAAACCGACACAGGUGGUCAGGUAGAGAAUACCAAGGCGCUUGAGAGAACUCGGGUGAAGGAACUAGGCAAAAUGGUGCCGUAACUUCGGGAGAAGGCACGCUGAUAUGUAGGUGAAGUCCCUCGCGGAUGGAGCUGAAAUCAGUCGAAGAUACCAGCUGGCUGCAACUGUUUAUUAAAAACACAGCACUGUGCAAACACGAAAGUGGACGUAUACGGUGUGACGCCUGCCCGGUGCCGGAAGGUUAAUUGAUGGGGUCAGCGCAAGCGAAGCUCUUGAUCGAAGCCCCGGUAAACGGCGGCCGUAACUAUAACGGUCCUAAGGUAGCGAAAUUCCUUGUCGGGUAAGUUCCGACCUGCACGAAUGGCGUAAUGAUGGCCAGGCUGUCUCCACCCGAGACUCAGUGAAAUUGAACUCGCUGUGAAGAUGCAGUGUACCCGCGGCAAGACGGAAAGACCCCGUGAACCUUUACUAUAGCUUGACACUGAACAUUGAGCCUUGAUGUGUAGGAUAGGUGGGAGGCUUUGAAGUGUGGACGCCAGUCUGCAUGGAGCCGACCUUGAAAUACCACCCUUUAAUGUUUGAUGUUCUAACGUUGACCCGUAAUCCGGGUUGCGGACAGUGUCUGGUGGGUAGUUUGACUGGGGCGGUCUCCUCCUAAAGAGUAACGGAGGAGCACGAAGGUUGGCUAAUCCUGGUCGGACAUCAGGAGGUUAGUGCAAUGGCAUAAGCCAGCUUGACUGCGAGCGUGACGGCGCGAGCAGGUGCGAAAGCAGGUCAUAGUGAUCCGGUGGUUCUGAAUGGAAGGGCCAUCGCUCAACGGAUAAAAGGUACUCCGGGGAUAACAGGCUGAUACCGCCCAAGAGUUCAUAUCGACGGCGGUGUUUGGCACCUCGAUGUCGGCUCAUCACAUCCUGGGGCUGAAGUAGGUCCCAAGGGUAUGGCUGUUCGCCAUUUAAAGUGGUACGCGAGCUGGGUUUAGAACGUCGUGAGACAGUUCGGUCCCUAUCUGCCGUGGGCGCUGGAGAACUGAGGGGGGCUGCUCCUAGUACGAGAGGACCGGAGUGGACGCAUCACUGGUGUUCGGGUUGUCAUGCCAAUGGCACUGCCCGGUAGCUAAAUGCGGAAGAGAUAAGUGCUGAAAGCAUCUAAGCACGAAACUUGCCCCGAGAUGAGUUCUCCCUGACUCCUUGAGAGUCCUGAAGGAACGUUGAAGACGACGACGUUGAUAGGCCGGAUGUGUAAGCGCAGCGAUGCGUUGAGCUAACCGGUACUAAUGAACCGUGAGGCUUAACCUU